GAUGAACGCUGGCGGCGUGCCUAAUACAUGCAAGUCGAGCGAACGGACGAGAAGCUUGCUUCUCUGAUGUUAGCGGCGGACGGGUGAGUAACACGUGGAUAACCUACCUAUAAGACUGGGAUAACUUCGGGAAACCGGAGCUAAUACCGGAUAAUAUUUUGAACCGCAUGGUUCAAAAGUAAAAGACGGUCUUGCUGUCACUUAUAGAUGGAUCCGCGCUGCAUUAGCUAGUUGGUAAGGUAACGGCUUACCAAGGCAACGAUGCAUAGCCGACCUGAGAGGGGGAGCGGCCACACGGGAACUGAGACACGUCCCAGCCUCCGACGGGGGGCGGCGGGAGGAAAUCUUCGGAAAUGGGCGAAAGCCUGACGAAGCAACGCCGCGUGAGGGAUGAAGUUCUUGGUAUCUAAAAACUUUUUUAUGGGGGAAAAAAAUUUUUGAAAGUACUUGUGCACUUCUGGCGGUUCCCUAAUAAGAAGCCCCCGCCAAACUCCGUC
rnacentral:rRNA from 1 species